AUGGAAGCAGAAGGCUUGGAUUGGUUUCUGUCCUGCCGCACCAUCUGGUUUCCUGGGGGGCUGCUGUGACCACAAUCUUUGGAGGGGUGGUCCCAUACAUGCCACAGUACAAGAAUGUUGGGAGGACCCAGAAUGCUAAUGGCUUCUCUACCUAUGCAUGUCUGGUGCUACUGGUGGCCAAUACACUGCUGGUUUAGAAGGCAUUUUGUGCUGCCUCUCCCAUGGCAGAGCAUACUCAUGAUCUUGACGUUUUUGCUGAUGUUGGAACUCUGUACUAUGUCGGCCUGGCAAAGGAACCAAAUAUAAAACUCCAGCCUUUGUAGACUCCCAUUCUCAGCACUUCUGGCACUGGGGCAGUUUCAUGAGCUAUGUGCACUGUGUCCUGGUCCUCACGAAGGUGACAAGCAGCUUCACUUACCUUGUUCAUACACUCUGCCUGCGGAAACCCUGGACUUCCUGGCCAAGGCCACUCUGAGCGUGCAGGAGCCCUACCAGCAACGCUGGCCACCCAUGCACACAGGGCACGAGAAUCAAAAUGGUGCUCGUGAGGACAAGCGGCGACACCUUCAAGACAGCCACAGCUUCAAGAUGCUCCUUCAGUUCUCCGUCUGUUGCAGGUGCUGGUGGACCUGGCCGUCCUGGGGCAGGUGUAGGCCUUCACCCGCCACCCCUAGAAGGCUGAGCCCGUUGCAGCGCCCCUGGCCAGAGCUAAGGCCCU
rnacentral:lncRNA from 1 species